GUUACUGCUAUCGGAGUUCGAUUAAGCCAUGCGAGUCUAAAGGUUCUUCGGAAACCUUGGCGGACUGCUCAGUAACGCGUGGAUAACCUACCCUUGGGACUGGAAUAACCCCGGGAAACUGGGGAUAAUACCGGAUAGAUCAGGGAUGCUGGAAUGCACCUUGAUCCAAAGCUCCGGCGCCCAAGGAUGGGUCUGCGACCUAUCAGGUUGUAGUGGGUGUAACGUACCUACUAGCCGACGACGGGUACGGGUUGUGAGAGCAAGAGCCCGGAGAUGGAUUCUGAGACACGAAUUCAGGCCCUACGGGGUGCAGCAGGCGCGAAACCUAUACAAUGUGCGAAAGCAUGAUAAGGGAACUCCGAGUGCCAGUAUCUAAUGCUGGCUGUCCUUGUGCCUAAAACGCACAAGAUAGCAAGGGCCGGGUAAGACCGGUGCCAGCCGCCGCGGUAACACCGGCGGCCCGAGUGGUAGCCGCUAUUAUUGGGUCUAAAGGGUCCGUAGCCGGUUCGAUAAGUCCUCUGGGAAAUCUGGUUGCUUAACAAUCAGACUGCCAAGGGAUACUGUCGAACUUGAGACCGGGAGAGGUAAGAGGUACUUCAGGGGUAGGAGUGAAAUCUUGUAAUCCCUGGGGGACCAUCUGUGGCGAAGGCGUCUUACCAGAACGGGUCUGACGGUGAGGGACGAAAGCUGGGGGCGCAAACCGGAUUAGAUACCCGGGUAGUCCCAGCCGUAAACGAUGCUCGCUAUGUGUCAGGUACGGUGUGACCGUAUCUGGUGCCGUAGGGAAGCCGUGAAGCGAGCCACCUGGGAAGUACGGUCGCAAGACUGAAACUUAAAGGAAUUGGCGGGGGAGCACUACAACGGGUGGAGCCUGCGGUUUAAUUGGAUUCAACGCCGGA
rnacentral:rRNA from 1 species